rnacentral:tRNA from 1 species
GCGAGAGUGGCGGAAUUGGUAGACGCGCUAGAUUUAGGAUCUAGUACUUUAACCGGUGUGGGGGUUCGAGUCCCCCCUCUCGUACUA